rnacentral:rRNA from 1 species
UACGUAGGGUGCGAGCGUUGUCCGGAAUUAUUGGGCGUAAAGAGCUCGUAGGCGGUGUGUCACGUCGGCCUGAAAACCUGCAGCUUAACUGUGGGCGUGCGGUCGAUACGGGCAUCACUUGAGUUCGGCAGGGGAGACUGGAAUUCCUGGUGUAGCGGUGAAAUGCGCAGAUAUCAGGAGGAACACCAAUGGCGAAGGCAGCUCGCUGGAACGGAACUGACGCUGAGGCGCGAAAGCGUGGGGAGCGAACAGG